CGAACGGGUGAGUAAUAUAUCGGAACGUACCCAAGAGUGGGGGAUAACGUAGCGAAAGUUACGCUAAUACCGCAUACGAUCUAUGGAUGAAAGUGGGGGAUCGCAAGACCUCAUGCUCCUGGAGCGGCCGAUAUCUGAUUAGCUAGUUGGUGAGGUAAAGGCUCACCAAGGCGACGAUCAGUAGCUGGUCUGAGAGGACGACCAGCCACACUGGAACUGAGACACGGUCCAGACUCCUACGGGAGGCAGCAGUGGGGAAUUUUGGACAAUGGGCGCAAGCCUGAUCCAGCAAUGCCGCGUGAGUGAAGAAGGCCUUCGGGUUGUAAAGCUCUUUUGUCAGGGAAGAAACGGUGGGAGCUAAUAUCUCCUACUAAUGACGGUACCUGAAGAAUAAGCACCGGCUAACUACGUGCCAGCAGCCGCGGUAAUACGUAGGGUGCAAGCGUUAAUCGGAAUUACUGGGCGUAAAGCGUGCGCAGGCGGUUUUGUAAGUCUGUCGUGAAAGCCCCGGGCUCAACCUGGGAAUUGCGAUGGAGACUGCAAGGCUUGAAUCUGGCAGAGGGGGGUAGAAUUCCACGUGUAGCAGUGAAAUGCGUAGAGAUGUGGAGGAACACCGAUGGCGAAGGCAGCCCCCUGGGUCAAGAUUGACGCUCAUGCACGAAAGCGUGGGGAGCAAACAGGAUUAGAUACCCUGGUAGUCCACGCCCUAAACGAUGUCUACUAGUUGUCGGGUUUUAAUUAACUUGGUAACGCAGCUAACGCGUGAAGUAGACCGCCUGGGGAGUACGGUCGCAAGAUUAAAACUCAAAGGAAUUGACGGGGACCCGCACAAGCGGUGGAUGAUGUGGAUUAAUUCGAUGCAACGCGAAAAACCUUACCUACCCUUGACAUGUACG
rnacentral:rRNA from 1 species